GACGAACGCUGGCGGCGUGCCUAAUACAUGCAAGUAGGACGCAGUUGCGCACGGGUGAGUAACACGUAGGUAACUACCUAUUAGAGGGGGAUAACUAUUGGAGACGAUAGCUAAUACCGCAUACUAGUAGAUGGACCUGCGUUUUAUUAGCUAGUUGGUAGGGUAAUGGCCUACCUAGGCAACGAUACAUAGCCGACCUUGUGGGGGGAUCGGCCACCAUGGGACUGGGGAACGGCCCAGAAUCCUAAGGGAGGCAGCAGUUGGGGAUCUUCGGCAAUGGGGGGAAACCUUACCGAGCAACGCCGCGUGAGUGAAGAAGGUUUUCGGAUCGUAAAGCUCUGGUGUUAAGGAAGCGGUACCUAACCAGAAAGGGACGGCUAACUACGUGCCAGCAGCCGCGGUAAUAC
rnacentral:rRNA from 1 species